GCCCGCCUAGCUCAAUCGGAUAGAGCGUCAGACUUUUACGAAAGUCCCAGUGCGGGUCAUCUGAAGGCUGCGAGUUCGACCCUCGCGGUGGGCU